rnacentral:tRNA from 1 species
UAGCCUAUGGUUAAGGCUUUGGAUCGUUAAUCCGGAGACGGCGGGUUCGAUUCCCGU